GGGGCGUGGACAUCAUAGCCAGCCAAUCCCGCGAGGAGGCGGCGCGCGUUCCCGCCUCUUUCCCCUCCCACCCAGCUCCUGAGCUGCUUCGGCGGGGAGGGGUGUGUGUGUGCGGCUGUAGCGGCUCCUCUCGCCCUCUUUGCCCUUGUACUUGCGGGCAAGUUUGGCGGCAAUCGAUGGUCUCAACUUGGCGUUCGCAGCAGAAGCGGAGCGGAGUGAGUCUGAGGAGCGGCGGCAAGGGCGGGAGACAAAGCGCUUGAGUUGUGUUGUGUGCGAGGGAGAGCGCACACGCGUUUCCUCUUCCCUGCCACCUUUGCCAGGCUCCUGUCCGCCUCUCUCUCGGUCUCUCUCUCGGUGACCACCCCCUCCCCUCCGGGGGGCGUGGACGUUGACCACGCCUCCUGGGGGGAUCCUGGUUACGUCCUUACCAGCCAGCCAAUCGGAUGGCUCAGGGGGCGUGCCGGGCCCCGUGGCUUGCCUGCCCCCCCCCCAUAGUUUUGAUCCUGGGUAUGCCCAUGGAUGGAGGCCCCAUGGAUGUAUGUGCACGUGUGGUCCCAAGCAGAGCUAUAACUAGCAGUAGCAGCAGCAGCUGGAUCCCGCAGCCCAGCGCCACAACAGGAACAGAGCUGAAUGGAGCACAGCGCGGCUCCCUCGAACAGCACAUUCGCUUUCCCACCUCAGCUGGAACGGGCCAUUUGGAACCCCAGUCAUAGGGGAUCCUCCUGCUUCUGCCGCCACCUGUAGAAGGGACGCUGCUUUCCUCCCUGGCUACUUAAGAGCGCUUCUCUCCACUCCACCCUCCAUCCACCCCUCUGCCUUUCUCACUUCCUGGUUUUUGCGCGACUUCUGAAGAAUGCAGGCUCCAAUCGCACGGCUUAAUCGUUACCUUGGGGGUAGCAGGUGGGGCAGGGUGUUUGCUCCAAGCACUUCAAUGGGGAAUGAAAAGAAAAAGGGGUGGGAGACAGGCGGGAGAGGAGAGGAGAGAGUGGAGAUUUGCCUUGAGCAUCAACUGUUCAAGUUAUAAUGCUUCAGUGCCUAACUUCUGCGGACACGCACAAACGCGCCCUCGCACAAACUGGCUAAGUCACAAAUCAGUCCCCUGACCUCUUCUCUGAAAUGAAACAUCCCAAGCAGGGGGAUUCAUCGGCAAUCCAGUAGCCUUUCUGAGAAAGGGAAAUGUUUUGUUUCCGACGGCCAUCUAUUUAUACGGAAUUGCACAGUGCAAAUGGCAUUGCUAGCUGUUUAUGCUUUUUCUCAUGUGAUGUGGAUAGAAAUAUUCUUUUGCAACGUGGAGACUGCUGAUGUGCAUAAGCUAAUUUAAUUUGAAACAUUCACUGAAAACAAAAUCUAUUUUGAGAAGAAAAGCCCUAUAUGUUUCCGAAAGGUCAUUUUCAUGCCUUAGAAUCUAAUGUGGCCUCCAGAUGUAGGUGGGUUCCAACUCCCAUCAGGCCCAGAUAGCACAACCAAAGGCAGGGAUGAUGGGUGUUGUAGUCCAACAGCAUCUGAAGAGCCUACAAAAGUGAAGCAGGUCUGGUCUUAUCAGAUGUUUUCAAAUUGCUGAAUACUCAAUGCCUAUUGAACCAAUGAUAUCUGUGUAAUCAUUAUUUAGCACUUGAAUACUGAGCAGUUAGGCAUGAUCUAAUCCACAAAUAUCCUUGCAAUAAUCAGGUGAGUCAAGCCCCAAGCCAAUAUCCCAAGACCCAAGCAUAUCUUUGGAAAUAGUUGAGCUCAGUUUCCUAAACCCUUGUCUGAUACCAUCAAUUUGCACGUACAGUAUCCUGAAAAUAAUUUUUUUGAAACAAUUUGUUGUUCCAUACCUAUAUAUAUCAAUGAAAACACAUGUUUAUUAAAAGCUGACUAUUUUCUGUUUCUAUUUCUUAUUUUCUACCUCCCAGACUUAGGAAGAUUGUCCACCAACUGGGAAUAUCAACAUCUCUCAACUUUCAAUUUCCCUGAUUCCAAAAUUGGAUUUAUUUUUUGUUUGUUUCAGUGAAUCCAUAGCACUAAUUUUCAAGAUUAGUGAAGCACACAGCCAAGGACUCUGUAAGCUAAAUGUGCUAAAUAUAUCAGUAAAUGAACAAUAAACAGCUAGCUGGAGGUUUGCAUAAUUUGUAGCACUUUUAGCUGAGUAUAUGCAUCUGGAAAGUACCCCUAAAUUCCAUACUGAAUGACACUCCAGGUGAUUUACGAGAAUUGCAUACUUUAGUAGUACUUUGGUCUGCUUUGUUAUGUGAAGUAUCAUAGAAUACUCCAAGAGAACUGGGUACUGUCAGAAAUGAUCUAGGUCAGGCAUCCCCAAACUUCAGCCCUCCAGAUGUUUUGGACUACAGUUCCCAUCUUCCCUGACCACUGGUCGUGUUGGCUAGGGAUCAUGGGAGUUGUAGGCCAAAACAUCUGGAGGGCCGCAGUUUGGGGAUGUCUGAUCUAGGUAAAUGUUUUAUCUGUGUUAGCAGCAGUUCUUUUCUUUUGAAGAGUUGGAAGCAUGUCUACAAUUUGUUGUUGUUGUUUAGUCGUUUAGUCAUGUCCGACUCUUCGUGACCCCAUGGACCAUAGCACGCCAGGCACUCCUGUCUUGCACUGCCUCCCGCAGUUUGGUCAAACUCAUGUUCGUAGCUUCGAGAACACUGUCCAACCAUCUCGUCCUCUGUCGCCCCCUUCUCCUUGUGCCCUCCAUCUUUCCCAACAUCAAGGUCUUUUCCAAGGAUUCUUCUCUUCUCAUGAGGUGGCCAAAGUAUUGGAACCUCAGCUUCACGAUCUGUCCUUCCAGUGAGCACUCAGGGCUGAUUUCCUUAAGAAUGGAUAGGUUUGAUCUUCUUGCAGUCCAUGGGACUCUCAAGAGUC